AACGAACGCUGGCGGCAGGCUCAACACAUGCAAGUCGAACGCCCCGCAAGGGGAGUGGCAAACGGGUGCGUAAUGUAUAGAAAUCUGCCUUAUAGUGGGGGACAACAGUUGGAAACGACUGCUAAUACCCCAUAAUACCAUUUAUGGGAAAGUCGCAAGACGCUAUUUGAUGAGUCUAUACCUGAUUAGCUUGUUGGUGGGGUAAAGGCCUACCAAGGCGAUGAUCGGUAGCUGAUCUGAGAGGAUGAUCGGCCACACUGGGACUGAGAUACGGCCCAGACUCCUAUGGGAGGCAGCAGUGGGGAAUAUUGGGCAAUGGACGAAAGUCUGACCCAGCAACGCCGCGUGGUGAAUGAAGGCCUUAGGGUUGUAAACACCUUUUAUUAGGGAAGAUAGUGACGGUACCUAAUGAAUAAGCAUCGGCUAACUUCGUGCCAGCCGCCGCCGUAA
rnacentral:rRNA from 1 species